CCCUGAGGGCAUCACCCACAGCCACACCCUCCCCUACAGAAGUGCUCCCAGCACAGCCCUCACCAUGGACUGCAGCUGGAGAACCCUCCUCCUGGUGGCCAUGGCAACAGGUGUCCACUCCCAGGUGCAGCUGGUGCAGCCUGGGGCUGAGGUGAGGAAGCCUGGGGCCUCCAUGAAGGUCUCCUGCAAGGCUUCUGGAUACACCUUCACUGACUACUGGAUGCACUGGGUGCGACAGGCCCCAGGACAGGGGCUUGAGUGGGUGGGGAGGGUUUAAGUUAACAAUGUAAACACA